CUUGCAUUGUAAUCAUGGAAAUACUCUCAUCGUCUGGCAACAACGAAACAUUUUCUGCUCUCGCUCGCUCACACGUACGCACGCACUGACACACAUACACGGACACAAGAUCACUAUGCUGCGUCAUGGAAUUUAAUGUCUGUAAAUUUGUUACUGCUCAUCAACUCUUUCAAAGAAAUUGAUUUUGGAUUCCGAAACGGAUGUGGCGAAGGCCGACUAACGGAUAUAGCUGGUGCAGACCGCAGCUCUCGCUGUCAUGUUUUAGCUCGAGCUGCUUGGAUUUCAGAGGGUGAGACACUAUUCAGAGGACAAGUCCUGAACUAUUGUCUGGCACACAUCUUAUCACUCAUUGUCACUUCUUGGUGACAGCUGCUUAACGAGAGGUUGAGAGUUUAAAGGUCACGAUGCAACUGAAAACUGUUCUUGCCCUGUUGUUGGUCUUCACGCUGGCCACCCGCCUGGACACCCGAGAGAUGGCUGUUGACGGACAGCUUUAUGCUCCGCGUGACUUUGAUCCCUACCAACUCUUGGAUGUGUCCAAAAAGACAAUGCGACAAGGAAUGCUGAAACAUUUGUGUGACAUGUUUGGGCAACUGGUUAUUGAUGGCAGGGAUUUUUGCCUGGACAUCUAGACCUGAGAAGUGCUGAUGAAUGCUGCUUCAUCAAAGAAAAUCGGAAAUGUUCUCAGUUGACUUUGUUUCCCUGACUGUGUGAACUUUUUCUUGCAAAGGUUUAGUAACCAUUAAAGUAAUAACAAACAUCUCUAACCAAAAUGAUAAAUAAACUUAUUCUUCGACUUGUCUGUCAUUUGGCUCAACAUAAAUGUUAAGGAACGAUUCACAGUUUCAUGUGGUUGAUGAUUUUGUUUAUGUCCAUGUUUAGGGGGAGGAAAAGAGGAGUGAAUAGAAUUUCUUUUAUUUCUUUGCUUAGUGCUUUCUGUGCUUUAACACAGUACUGAAACAAGAUUUCCAAGAAUAUUAUUUCAAUGCUUGAACAUAUGGCAUUGUCCAUUAAGUAAAAACUUUUGGGUAAAACUAUGUGAUGUGUUAAAUAACCACAACCAUUUACAGGAAAUUAGGUUGUGAAAAGAAGUGGUUACAUUUGCUAUUAGUAGAACCGAGAGUUGACAAAGCCUUGAACUUCCUUAUUCUUAUAGCAAAAAUUUCAUUUAUAAAUACAGAUUUCUGAAGGCCAUGCCAACAGUAGGUAGGUUUAUGCCUUUUCUAAAGCCACGAUACAUUGUGUAAUAAUCUGUGGCAUCUAUUAACAAACACAAAUAUCCUUUCUGAAACAGUGGCUCCCAAAGUCAGACAAGGAUGACCAGGACCAAGCUGAAUUCUUGUAUUAAAAAUAUUAAGUAGAUACAUGUAUCCCAAUUUUAUUUUGUAGCAAUGGCUGCAACAUCUGAAAUCUGCCAUAUUCCACUAUCAUUGAUAAUUUGACACAAUGUCAGUCCUGACUUAAAGUCAAGCAUGACUAUACUUUGACACCUUUUCUAUAGGCCACCAGAUAAAAUCCUUUUUUCCUUUCUGCCAAGAAACUGGACAACUGCAAAAUUGAUUGAAAACCUGCCCCGUGUAUUGGUCGUGGAAUAUGGCCAGCUACUGGCCUCCUCCUCUGGUAAAGAUAAACAUCAUGGCUGUGUCACUUAGUCAAGUUUUGGACUUCAGUGGAAUGGUCUUGUAUGUCAUGAUUGUGCAGGAAAUUCCUUUAUUCCUUAAUUAACAAAUUAAAGCAAGUCAGAAACAAUUGUUUCUACUUUCUAAGUCACUAGUUGGAUGCUGGAGGUGUCCAGAAAAUGAUGCCGCAUUUCCUGUUAUUGUCAUGUGAAUACAAAGAUAAAUAAAUCUGUUGCUGCAA
rnacentral:lncRNA from 1 species